UGUAGUGGAGGACUUUUAUUAUGCUUUUAUUUUCAUAUUAUUAUGUUUUAUUUUUCAUCCUAUUUUUCAUUUCAAUCAUAGAAUUGUGAUUCAUAUGGAGAUCAUGUUUUUCUGCUAACGCACAUAAUUAUGCUUUUUCUGUCUUUUCAGCAAGUACAAUGUUCAAGGAUUUAAACAUCAUGUACCAACAUGUACUUUUCUAUAUGAUAAGAUAAGGGGGCUUAACGGAUGAAUCAUUAAGUUAGAAACCCAGGGAACGGUAGAGUUCUCUGAGAAACAAACCAUAUGUUUUAUGAUUAUGUUUAAUGUUUAUGUUCUUAAUCACUGACAGCUGAAGACUAUCUUCUUAAUGACGUAGAAACGGAUGAUUGUACGUGUUUCAGCAUCUUACUAUAAAUGUGUGUUCAACCUUGUGAUCGGGGCUCUUGGGUUUAGACUUCUAGCACCAGGGAGUGAGAGCCUAUUCUGCAGAAUAUAUAAAAUUCAGACAAAGAAAAUUCUGUCGACAGUGUGUCUGUGUGAUCCUUGACUUUGACUCUUAGUGAGUAUUAUUUGAUGCGGCUAAAAUUCCACGACAAUAAUGGCGACGAGGAUGCGGAUUCCACAGCUGAAGACUCCAGAAGGUUUGGGAGAGACUGACUGAUCACCCCUGAGACGAGAGGUCUCGGGCUCCGUACCCCAGGCCUAAGGGAAGGGAGAGUCUCAACCAUUUCUGAAGUCAAAGCUGACGGAAUCUGGAAAAGAACGGUUGUGGUGGCAUCUGAAUAGAUAAUACGGUAAGCGUUAUUUCGUUCGUGACCAUGGGUCAGGGUAAUUCGAAAGGGAGUACAAAGUCAAUGGAUCUGGAAAAUGGUGUGUAUGCUCGAGUGAUCAAAUCAAAGGGCACGGGGGCGUUGGAAAGCGUAAAAUCUGGGAGAAAAGGUAUAAUUUUCCUCCUAAAGGAACACUGAGUGUAAAAGCACUCACUUUAUUAAGGGAAAAGAUCAUUGCGGGUGGCAGAGAAAUGAGAGCACAGAGUAAGAUAAAGACCAAGGACGAACUGACUCAGACUAAGUCAGAGCUAAACAUUAAGCAAAUGUUUUUCCUACAUCAGAUUCAUUACAUGAUGAACCUAACUUUCUUUUUUUUUCCUCCUCCCUAUGCACCUGCACGUACCCCACCUGGGGUACAUUUCCAAUUCACAAGGGUACCGCUUCUGGACGAUGACCUCCAACCCCCUCCACAACGUCGCGCUCCACCACCACCUGGUCAACAAGCCGCACAGAUACAACAGCCAGCACGACAAGCACCACCUUCUGCACCCCCGCCACCGCCGAUGCAAGAACUGCCACGUGGACCAGAAUCAGAGAUCAUCCACAUCCUUGACAGCACUUUUGAAGAGGACAAAGAUGAUGUUCAGAUAAAGACGGAACGGGAGGCAAGGCCUAAGGAAACAGCAGAGAAGCCGUUCACCAGAGAAACAGCUAUCUUCAGCUUUUGCCAAGAUAGGAGAAUGGGCACAGCCACAACAUAACCAACGCAAUUUCUCUUCGCAAGGACAACGCUCCCGAGAGAACGGGCAGCAGAGAGAAUGAGAGAAGAGGAGAGGAGAUCUGAAAGAAAAUGUUUGCUGGUAUUGCGGACAGAAAGGACAUUUGAAAAACCAAUGUUUCCAUUUCCUGACAACUAAAGGGACACUGGAAUCCCAAGGGAGCGCGGGAAACCUGCCGGUGUGUAAAGAAAGGGGCGACUGAAGCCAGGAGGGGGAAGGGGAGCAUCGUACGGAGGCGGGUUAAAGCAGCACUACCACGCCCCGCAGAGGGACCUUUGCACAACAUCAAACCAGGAGAUUUCGUGUUGGUGAAAAACCUGAGGAGGAAAUCCUGGAAGGCGAGACGGUGGGAGGGGCCAUUUCAGGUUCUGCUGACGACCCACACCGCCGUUAAGGUCGCGGAGCGUGCCACCUGGGUGCACGUUGCCCAUUGCCGGAGGGUUGGUCCUGGACUGCAAGGUGUAAACCAAAGGGAGGACGGCUAGUCGACUGCUACGGACCACUUUUUCGUAUUGGUGGGAACCACAGAUACCUGUAUACUGCAAGUUUAUUACUAAGAACGACACGAGAGAACUGCAACAGCUCACAAGGUAUUGGAGGACGACUCCAGUAUUCUGGGUUUGGUUUGGACACACGCACACGACAUCUUUAAUGUGGGUAAUCGACACGACGCUUGCAGCUUAAUAACUGUAAUUACAACACCAGCUUUGAGACCCCACAUUAAUUUAGACACUAAGAUAAUUUCAUUCGAACAAGAAAGCAGGAUAGCUUGGCACAACUGCACCGUGUGGUCCUACCAAACCCGAACCUACAAAGGAAAUUAAUCAACAAGGGCUCACGACCCCAACUCUAACUGUGCUCAGGGCUCACGACCCCAACUCUAACUGUGCUCAGGGCUCACGACCCCAACUCUAACUGUGCUCAAUCCAGGAAUCAUCAAGGGCUCACGACCCCAACUAUAACUGUGCUCAAUUUCUUCAAGAAAACGAACUAUUUUUCUUCUUUCAAAAAUGAGGUUCAUAAUCAUACUAUGUGUGUGUGCAUUUUUGCUUUUGCAACUGCACAGAACUAUAUGUACACUAUGGUUAAGGGUAAUAACCAGAGCUACGUAACGAUGACAGUAAAUGAAGUUAUGAAUAAAUCAUAAAAAGGGAGGAGUGUAGUGGAGGACUUUUAUUAUGCUUUUAUUUUCAUAUUAUUAUGUUUUAUUUUUCAUCCUAUUUUUCAUUUCAAUCAUAGAAUUGUGAUUCAUAUGGAGAUCAUGUUUUUCUGCUAACGCACAUAAUUAUGCUUUUUCUGUCUUUUCAGCAAGUACAAUGUUCAAGGAUUUAAACAUCAUGUACCAACAUGUACUUUUCUAUAUGAUAAGAUAAGGGGGCUUAACGGAUGAAUCAUUAAGUUAGAAACCCAGGGAACGGUAGAGUUCUCUGAGAAACAAACCAUAUGUUUUAUGAUUAUGUUUAAUGUUUAUGUUCUUAAUCACUGACAGCUGAAGGCUAUCUUCUUAAUGACGUAGAAACGGAUGAUUGUACGUGUUUCAGCAUAUUACUAUAAAUGUAUGUUCAACCUUGUGAUCGGGGCUCUUGGGUUUAGACUUCUAGCACCAGGGAGUGAGAGCCUAUUCUGCAGAAUAUAUAAAAUUCAGACAAAGAAAAUUCUGUC